GGGGCAUCUGGGUGGCUCAGUCAGUUUUAAGCGUCUGACUUCAGCUCAGGUCAUGAUCUCAUGGCUUGGGGGUUCAAGCCCCGCAUCAUUCUCUGUGCUGACAGCUCAGAGCCAGAAGCCUGCUUUGGAUUCUGUAUCUCCUUCUCUUUGCUCCUACCCUGCUUGAGCUUGGUUUCUCUCUCUCUCUCUCUCUCUCUCUCUCUCUCUUUCAAAAAUAAAUAAACAUUAAAAAAAAUUUAAGGGGUGCCUGGGUGGCUCAGUCAGUUAAGAGUCAGACUUUGUCUGGGGUCAUGAUCUCCUCCCACCCCACCCUGGACUAUGAGCACCUUGAGGACUGAUAACUAGAUGACAGGCAGUCACCUAACACCUAGCCUGGCACCGAACAGACCUCCAUAAAUGCCUGUGGCAUGAAGGAAUGACAGCGUCCUUUCAGAGGGCAAAAUACCUUUGCCUUCCUUGGCUUGGCAUCUCCCCACAGCAUUUAGGCCAGGACUCCGCAUUCAAUGGGUCCCCAGCUGGAUGUUAUUUUCUGGGCUGGUUGCUCUCUCUUGCCACUCUUUUGUCCUCAGCCUCCGCAGCUCAAGUGCUACCUUUCCGGUGCCCAAAAAAUUGAGGUUAUCUUGGGUUAUCAGGUUCUCAGGGCAGUCCCUAAAAGUCUAUCUAAUCCUGAAUGUGGCCGACCUGGCACACCAAAUGCACUUCUCCCGUAGUCCCAAGAACUCUGUACAGCCUUGAUUGUGCAAGAGAGAAGAGAGGGCACCCUGUGUUCCAAUUCCGGGACGCAGCCCUCCUCUACUCCCUACUUGGCUGAACCCACAGCUAGGGGUGGGGCUGGGCCAGGGAGGGUGCUGGGGAGGAGAGCAGACAAUCCUGGGCACCAGCACCAGAAAUCUUAUUCUCUGCCAGAGGACAUCUCUCUAGUUCUUUCACUCACAGGAAUUCUGAAUAAGGACUAAAUAGGAAUAGUAAUGAUGUUUGUAUAGUGCUUUAUAGUUUAUAAAUGACAUAUUUUCACCCCUAAUAUCUCACUGUCUGAUUCUUAAAACAACCCUCUCGAGUUACUUUAUUGUAGUAAUUUUUAUUCAACAGGCAAGAAAAAUGAGGUUCAGAAAUGAAGUGAUUUGGGGUGGCUCAGUCGGUUGAGCAUCCAACUCUUGAUUUCUGCUCCGGUCAUGAUCUCAUGGUUUGUGACUUCAAGCCCCAUGUUGGGCCGGGCCUGUGCUACCAGCGUGGAACCUGCUUGGGAUUAUCUCUCCCUUCUCUCUCCUCUCUCUCUCUCUCUCUCUCUCUCUCUCUCUCUCUCUCUCUCUCUCUCUCUCCCUCCUCCUCCUCCCCACCUCUCUCUCAAAAAUAAGUAAAUAAACUUAAAGACGGGGGGGGGGGGCA
rnacentral:lncRNA from 1 species